rnacentral:rRNA from 1 species
AGAAUCAACGCUGGCGGCGUGCCUAACACAUGCAAGUCGAUCGAGAAAGUGGAGCAAUCCAUGAGUAAAGAGGCGCACGGGUGAGUAACACGUGACUAACCUACCUUCGAGUGGGGAAUAACCUGGGGAAACCCGGCUAAUACCGCAUAAUACCUACGGGUCAAAGGAGCAAUUCGCUUGAAGAGGGGUCGCGGCAGAUUAGUUAGUUGGCGGGUAAUGGCCCACAAGCGAUGAUCUGUA